UGGGUUUGUAGGUAUGCAGAAUGCAGGAGUUAUGGGGUCAUGAAGCCUUACACUGAAGAUCCGGAAAAUAAGCUGGUGAAACCAAGCACUAUAGUAUAUAGCAAUGUUAGAUCCUUUGCAAAAGAACCUGAGAGGUCCUUGCUUGUAACCCUGAAAAUGAAACCUGAGUUGCAAUGGAGACACCAGGACAUAUCACAAACAUGGAACUUCUGCUGAGAAAAGGUGGCAACACUGCGUGGAGCUGCUUCAAGACAGAACUAUACCUAAGCCUACUAGAGACCAGACUAUGCUACCAGAAGACCUAAAUGCUAUAAAUGAAGAGUUGCAAUGGUAUUUGCUCUGCUGGGGUUUGGUCUUGGCUGAACUUUUCUCCCUGUACCCCAUUCCUCUUGAUUGGGAUAUAAAUGUUUCCUCUGUGCCAUGAGACUGUGAUUUUUUUUUGUUAUCUCACAGGGGCUCAUGGCUAUGAGAUUUUGGGGACUUUUGAAGUUAGAUUAAAUAUAUUACAUAUUAUGAGAUGGCCUUUAGCCUAUGGAGGCCAGAGGCUAACUCUUAGCCUUGAGUGUGGACUAUAUCCUACAAGCUCAUGUGCUUGAAUACUCUGUACCCCUUAGGUGAUGCUGUUUUUGAAGUUUGGGGAACCUUUAGGAGGUGGAGUCAGGUUCAAGGGAAUGGGAUGCUUAGGUCAGGGAGCCUUGUGGCCCCCAGUUUCCUUGCAUGUUCUGGCUGCUUCCUGGUUCAUCAAUAUGUGAACAAAUCACUCACCCUCUUACCACCAUGGAACUCUCUCACCCCACCAUGAAAUUGUGAAUCCCCCAAAUCAAUUUCUCCCUGAAGUUGCUGCUUUCCAGUUAUUUGUUACAAUGAUGAGAAAAGUACCUCAUUCCUUCUUUCCCCAUGACAUGUUCACCUACAAAUAGAGACACAGUAUAUACUCACAACUUUAAUAGGUCAUUAGCUGGGGUGGUGGAAAGUUGACGGGCUUUGAUUUUUGUCCUUCAUGUGUUGUCAAUUUCAAAUAAAUUAAGUUAGUCCCAAGAAAACAAAGUCUGAAUUUCACAAUUUUCUGAGAAUUAUUGGAACCAGGUCUUCCACAUGAGAUAUGAGUCUAUAAAUAUUUUCAGUGCCUAAUGCAGUAAUUACAUUUUGGUGCUGAUACACAUGUAAAUGUUUUCAUAUUCCUACCACAUGCAUGUUGGAGUGUACACACAUUUUUCUUUAUUUUUUUUUCGUUCAGAGAAGCACAUAAAAUACAAAUCUCUUUACUUCAAAGUCAGAGCAGAGGAGUUGGAGUUCUAAAUAUUUUCUGAUUUGGAGUGGUGUUCCACGACACUAGCAUGAAACCAACUCUUCAUCAAAGUGGUUUGCUUCAAUCAGGGCUGUACCGAUGCGCUAUAAAUUAUAAAUCAUAUCUUCUGUUUUACAUGGGAAUGGAAGCUUGGAGGUGGCUCGCACUCCAACAGACGGACUUGAGGUAGUUUCAUGUCCUCGGUUGCUUAUGAUUUGCUUCUAAGGUCAUUUUCAAAGACUCUGCCAUUAACUUCAGAGGCAACCCGGCAAGGAGCUUUCAGCAGCUAAGUAUGGGUUUUGGCACGGGUUCUGAUAGUUAAACAAGGCAGCGAGGAAUCACAAACAAGGAGCCAGGAGGGACGAGUGGGAGGGAAAGGUGGCUGGGAGGGAAUGGGGAGAGAGAAAUGACACCCACCGUCAUACUAGUCACCUCUCACUGGGUUCUUGGUUCCUUCCUGGACAAGAAAUGAAAGGGAAGGAGUGCAGAUCUGAGUAGUGACAGGAGUACCAGCAUUUCAGUCUAACCUAUGCUUCUGGUUUUCCCUGGGGCUGUGGGAAAGCUGAAGACCCCAGUCAUCCAUCACAUUCAUGGUCCCACCUUAAGUCCAGGAUCAUUUUAUCUUGAAAUGAUCAAAUAAGACAGCCCCCCCCCCCUCAGAUUGUAGGUAGACUUGAAGGGUGUGUGUGUGGCUACCAUCCAGCCUCCCACAUCCCUUGAGCAUGCUGCUGUCCUGGCUGUGAUCUCUCUCGUGCCCAACUUGUACCUUCUCUUUUGAGAACAGCCCAGGUUGGUGUCCCAUUCACAAUCCCCCUGCCUUAGCUCCCUAAGUGCUGGGUUUUUAGUCCUGUUGCAAUCACUUCGCACUUUCCCUGUGCUCUUUGGAGCCUCUGAAUCUAGUAUCUAAAGUGCUUGCUAAUGGUUGGUACAGCCAGGAUCCUUGGGACUCUGUCUGCUCUGACACCCCGAGGUUCUAGACACCACCGACAGUGCACAUCAUCUCAGUGAGGACCAAAGAAGCUUUGGAAUCAGGUGGACAGAAGACAGUGGCUGCAGAGUAUGUUAUAGAAAACCAGGAGCUGAUAUGAUAAUGGUGGUGAGUAUAUCUGCGCACACGCACAGCCAGGAGUACACUUGUAUGUGAGAAAAGACUGUUUGACCAAGCUGGAUUCCUUGUCUAUGUGCCUGGGCAAGGCAUGGUUUCCCAUAUGUGUUCCUUCCUGCUGUGUUUUAUUGCUUGGGGUGCCCAUCUUCCGCUCUUGGGAGAUACAUUAGUAAUCCGUGUUCCAGAGGUUUACUUUCAAAGUUUUCAAUGACCUGUGGUUAAGUGAGAUCCCAGAAUAUGAAACGGAAAAUUACAGUAAAAAAAAAAUUCUAAGUUUGGAAUUGCGUGCUGUUCUGUGUAGUGUGAUGAAAUCUUUUACCACACCAACCAGGACAUGAAUCACCCCAUAGCCUAGCACAGCAUGCUGCAUGCGUCACAGAGCUGUUAGUCACUCCCUAGCUGUCUCCUUCGUCAGACCAACUGUUGCAUAUCACAGUGCUGUGGAGCUGGUGAUUCAGGUAUGUCCUCCCAAGGGACAAAGAGUGAGUUGGGGGUAUCAGUCAUGUGCCGCACAAACACCCCACUUCUUUCUUCCAUCCAGCACAUGGUAGGUACUCCUCAAGCCCUUUUAAAGUUUUGGCACGGACAAGGGAAUGUAAGCAAAAGUGAUACAUUACUUCCAGGAGGAAGCAUGAUUUUCUACCUCCUUUCCCCACUGCUGCAGAAACAGAAGCACCCAUUGAACACCAGUCUCUGAAUAAAGGAAUCUGUUUGCAGAGCCCCCUGCUGGCCGGUGGUGGACACACAGUACAAAAGAGAAAUCACCACACUGCUUUACAUUUCUGAGCAGGCUUGUUACUGCAGCAUGACACAACCUCUUCUGGCUAAAUAAAUAAUGUACGUGACGUACUUGCUUUUGUAACUCCUAUAACAUAUAGUGUCCGAUGUUUAGUAGGUUCUCAAUAAUAUUUGAUAAAUUAAGCAGUGAAUGUAAACACAUUUAGCUUGAAAAGGAACAGCCAUCCAUCACAUAUAUAAACAAAGUAGCUGCUGUACUAAGGGGAAAUGGGGUUUGGAAUUAGAUAGUGUAGAUAGCGUUUCAAACUGGAACAAAUGUAUGCUUUAAUCAUACCUAUCUCAUUGGUAGGGUUGUGAUUUAAACUAUUGCCUUUAGCAUAUUUAUUUUAUUGAUGCCUUAGUAAUUAAAAAGAAAAGAAAGAAAAGAGAAAAAGAAGGCAGGAAAAAGAAUUAGUAGUUGCUGGUGAUAUAAAACAAGGCAGAAGACUCAGCAGGUGGUAGAGAUAACAGUUUUCUACUCUCAAGGCUUGACUUAAUGUGAGAGCUUGCCCAUUACUCACUAUUCUUAUCUUUUGACUCAUCCCGCUCAGUUAUUUAUUCUCCAAGUAUUUAUUGAGCAGGUAGGUGCUGAGUCCUUGGCUAGGUGGCUGAUUCUCUCCUGAAGCUCAGCUGUGUAAGGUGUUAAGAGCCAGCAUAAGGACUGCCACAGUCAGCUCCAAAGAUUGGUGGGAGGAGGAAUCCAUCAGAUUUGGGACCAAAGACUUGCUUUGUUUCACUACCUUGUAUCUUCUCAUUCCAUAGUUCUCCAGCCCUUCAAUUUCCUUCCCUACAGCUGGUCCUCAACGCCUUUGUCUGGCACAGCAGCUCUCUGAGAGAGAGGAGAGGAAUACAUUGUUCCCAUUUGUAAGGUGAAGAAACUGGCACCAAGAGAAUGAGACAGAGGCCGAAUGAAGACACUGUGGCCAGCAACUUAUGCUCACUGUCAGAGGAGAACAGCUGCUCCAAGCAGGAAAGCUGGUCAGAGACUAGUGACUUCCUCACCUGGUGAAGGUCAUUUGAUGACUCAGUAUCAAAGUCAGCACUAAAAUGAAAACAACAAUAACAAGAAAAGGUAACAAUUGUUGGCAAGAGCCCUGUGUGUUACUGACAGAAAGUUAGAUGGUACAGCCCCUGAGGAUAAACGGUAAGGUGGUACCUCAAAAAAUUAAACGUGACUUACCUGAAGAUACAGAAACUUCAUUCCCACCUGCCAGCGGGUCCAGAGGAACCAGAGAAGAUAUUUGUAAACCUACAUUGUUAACAACGUUAUUUACAUUAUCUAGAAGGCAGAAGCAACCCUUGUCCAUAAUAGGCAAACGGACACACCACAUGGCAUGUACACCUCCCAGGGAAUCUCAUUUCAUUGUUGAAGGAAGAAAAUGCCAGGGCACCCUGCAGCAGAAGGAACAUGGAGGACACUGGGGAGGGGCCAGCUGGACCAGGAUGAGACUCUACUUUGAAAGAAAUGCCACAGAGCUUCUAGAUAUCAAUCACAUACAAGAGGCAGCUGAGGGGACUGACAAGUGCUCUGGUGGUCUACCUCUGGGUUUCUAACCCAGACAAUCAAGAGCAGAGAUUCUGGAGGGCAGUCUCUGCACACGUGUUUAUAAUAACACCGUUCGCAAUCGGCCAAAGUUAGAGACAACAGGACAUCCAUGGGGAGAAGCCACUUCCAGGAAUGCUGCACUGGGCAGAGAGAAAGUAUUCAAGUCUGCCACAUCACAGAUUCUCCCACACUUUGAUAAUGACUAGAGUGCUCGUGUAACUUGAACUCCAAAUGACAUGGUGUUUUAGAGUGUUGGUGCAAACAUCCCCUGAGAUAUGAAAUACCUUUAAGAUUGAAAGUAUACCACAAGCAUAAAUUGAAAUUUCCAAGAAACUGGUGUAAAUCUUCAUCCAGUAGCAACUACACACCUAUCCGGCACUGUGUUCCAGACCCCCCACCUGCCACUGCUCCAUCCUUGAUGUGUUUCUCUCUCUGCUCUGCCCUGUGGGAGGCAGACUCCUGCACACUGUAGCUGGUCCUCUUGCCUUCUGCUAUUGCUAAUCAGAGACCUUGAAGAACAGCAGGGGGAAGAAAGAGAUGCCAGCAUAUAUAUAUUUUACCACAAUCUCACACUGAUGCAGAAUCCUGGGCAGUGGCUUAUCCCUUAUAUGACUACAGUAGCUCUUUCCAGGGUGGUCCUCCUGCAAGCUGUGGAUCUCUCUGACCUCCAGAGGCUUAGUUUCCUCUCUGAGUACCUGAACAUUUUUAUACUCUUCUGUGUGUAGUUCCUGCAUUGUAACCUCCUCAUUUGUACCCUCUGAACUGCCUUUUUUCUGACUAAUUCUCUUGCUUGCUAUGAGCCACUACUUUACACAUACCAUGUUCAUGGACUACAGUCCAGGAAGCAGCUAAUUCUUGUUCUUCCCAUUUGUAGAUGAGGAAAUUAGGGGCACGGAGGUUAAAUCAUCUGCCAAGAUGUCUGGCUAGGAAAUGUCGAGGUUGUGUCUUACCUCAGUGACUAUAAUCUAGGGACACUGAGGUGGAUCUUCCUCAAAAUAGUUUCAAAGUGAUGAUGACUCUGGAGCCUCUUACCUCAUCCCAGAGUGGCCAGGCAUCUCCAGAAGUUCAUGUCAAGCCCCCAGGUUCAGAGAAGAGAUGCAAAAGAGUGUGAGAUCCAGGCAGGCCUGUUUUAGCCUAACAAACCAUGGACUGUCAGCAUCUUUCUCUUUUAGUUGUUGCCCUAACCCUGGGAAGGGAACAGUCCCCAUAACCACAUCCUCAGCACCACUCAGACUUGUUAAAGAUGUGAAGUCCUGGGGCCCCACUGAGACCUGCAGUGGGGUGUGGCACUUGGCUUCUGUAGUGUCCAGCUGGAAGCCUGGUAUUGUCUGAUUCUCAGAGCUUCAAGGGAUUUCCUGGUUUUUCUUUCCCCAAUAGGAACACAUGAGAAGACCACAUGGCCAGCAGCAAGAAGCCAGAGCUGAGCUCAGCUGGAAGAACAGAUUCACAGUUUCUAUGUCCUGUUCUACUCUGCCUGUCACCCAGUCCCAUGCACACUGAUGAAGAGCAUGUUAAUGGUGUAUAAUAUUUAAUGACAUCACCUUGGCCAAGAUUCAGGAAUUCGGGACUCCAAGUUAUCCUGAACAGUCUAAAACCGAAAAUGGAAAGAUGAUUUUGCUUUGAGUCCAUGUGAACUCUGUGGAUGAGGGGAUGGACGCGGAGAACAUCUAUUCUGAGUAGAUGAGUUAAACAUAAAACUCUCAACACCAGUGAGGAAAUCAGAUUCCACGUUCACUUAAACUGUCCGCAGAGACCUUCAUUUUACAAACAAGAAACCCAGUGAAGGAAAGUCUGGCCUGGCAUUCCUUUCAUUUGCAGAUGUUGUGUAUCCUCAUUAUUCAUUGUAAACAGAGAAGGCUCCGUGCCACCUCAGUCAUACUGCAGGAGGAUGUUUUCACCAGCUCAGAAAAGGGGGGAAUGGGUGUAAAAAUAUUUAUGCUGCAUUUUCCAGGACUGUGUUUGAUUUCCUUUUUGGUUUGUUUAUUUUGUGGAAUGAGAGGGAUGGUGCAUCUUAUUUUUACAAGCUUGUAUUGUUACCCCAGGAAUGUUUUGGCAGAUGCAAAAUUAAAAACAAACUUCAUGUUUUCUUCAGUGCCCUUCAGGGCCCGAAAGGACAGGAACAAAGUAUCGUGGUUUGUCAUCAGAGCGCCAGGAAGCCACAAGGAAACGGAGUUUAUGAACCAAAUUGCUCAAAACGGGAAAGAAAUGAAAAAUGUGCAGCAGAUGCUCCCAGACUGGAGAACAAGCCAGAGGAAGGCCCACAGCAAAGCUUAUUGGCCUUCAACAAUAGCUGUUUGCACGCACAUGCGCGCGCAUGCGCACACACACACACACACACACACACACACACACACACACACCAAUUCUCUUCUAUAGUCAUUUCCCUGGGAUUUGAAAUUGAUAACUGUGGACACAAAGACACACUUGGCCUAAUUUGUCAGGCUAUUUGGAGUCAUGGGUGUCACCCUGCAUGUCUGGUAUGUGUACAGAUGGCUCCUGCUGGCUUCAAUAAAAU
rnacentral:lncRNA from 1 species